AGUGAACGCUGGCGGUAGGCCUAACACAUGCAAGUCGGACGGCAGCACAGUAAGAGCUUGCUCUUACGGGUGGCGAGUGGCGGACGGGUGAGGAAUACAUCGGAAUCUACUUUUUCGUGGGGGAUAACGUAGGGAAACUUACGCUAAUACCGCAUACGACCUACGGGUGAAAGCAGGGGAUCUUCGGACCUUGCGCGAUUGAAUGAGCCGAUGUCGGAUUAGCUAGUUGGCGGGGUAAAGGCCCACCAAGGCGACGAUCCGUAGCUGGUCUGAGAGGAUGAUCAGCCACACUGGAACUGAGACACGGUCCAGACUCCUACGGGAGGCAGCAGUGGGGAAUAUUGGACAAUGGGCGCAAGCCUGAUCCAGCCAUACCGCGUGGGUGAAGAAGGCCUUCGGGUUGUAAAGCCCUUUUGUUGGGUAAGAAAAGCAGCAGGUUAAUACCCCGCUGUUCUGACGGUACCCAAAGAAUAAGCACCGGCUAACUUCGU
rnacentral:rRNA from 1 species